rnacentral:tRNA from 1 species
GCGGUUAUGAUGAAAUGGUAGACAUAGAACACUUAAAAUGUUCGGAUAUUAAUCGUAUAGGUUCGACUCCUAUUAACCGUA